UACCUGCACAGAAUAUUCUUUCCUACCUAUACUUUAUUUUUACUUUGUUGUUAAGAUGUGCAAGGAGGUACAACAUCCAGUAGAACUUCGUUUUGUUCCUCCUCCCUCCAAAAUUUAUAUUUGGAACUUUAUUAAGAAGAGGGACUUGGUGUCCUGGUUUGGAGGACAGGUAUCUGCCAAUAAAGGCAGAAGUCUUCCUUUGAAAUGGAGACCCCAGUUCCACUCCCCCCCCAAGUAUUACAAUCGUCCGAAUCAAGGACUCUGAGGCAGAGAUAAGGGGGUAGGAAUAACAGCUCCUUUACUAAUAUAUCUAAUAAUACAAGCAGAAAGCAACAGCAGUUAUUAAAAUUGCCAACAAACAGAACAGAUAAUUCAGUCCCAGUCCUUUCCUUGCCACAGGCACACGCUCUCCCUGCUCUUGGUGCAGCAGGAGCGAAGCCCCGCAGCUGCAAAGAAGCAGCGGGAGCGGAGACGGGAGCGGCCCAUGCCGGUCUUGGGUGAGAACGGGCUGGAGAGGGCAGCUCCUCGCUCACCGUCUGUGUCCAGGUGGUCAGCAGUGUCCGCAGAGGCAGGAGGCUGGAACGGGGAGAUGCAGGGCAGCUGACCGCAGAGGCAGGAGGCUGGAACGGGGAGAUGCAGGGCAGCUGACCGCAGAGGCUCUGGCUCUCCUCCCUCCGGCCGCGUGGCUGCAGACGGGGGGUCCCUCCUCCGAGCUCCUCCGAAUCCCCGUCCCCUUCCGGGAGCCGCGCCCACCUACCCCCUUUGUCCAGAGACAUCAGAGGUCCUGGGUGUGACCCGGCCAGCUCCAUCGGCAUGACAAUGGGAAAAAUUCCCCAAAUUGACACAGUAACAGAAAACACUCAACCCCCAACACUUGGUUUUACUUAUUAGCUUUCUAAUUUUGACAUGACUGGGGUGCCUUAAUGAGCCUUGGCACUUGUGUGCAUCUCCUAUUAUGCUUACAUGCACUUCAGUGACAGAAGUGCACAUUAAAACUCAGUCAUUUGGAGUUCCUGCAUCUUCCCUGAACAGGAAAUAUUACCUGUAUUUAUGCUUUACCUCCUCCUACAGAGAGAUAAAGAGGCUUAAUCUUCUCCUGGGCUAUGCAUGAUCUUUUAUCUCCUUAGCUAUGUUCCAUAUAAUGAAAGUGACAUCACAGGGUGGCUUUCUGCCUCUUCCCAAAUUAUUUUCAAAUUAAUUAAUGUCCUAAGUUUAGAAUGUUUAGAGGGAUUUUAAUUUUUAUUUGACAAUUUUAGAUUGCAUACACACUUUCUACUAUUUUUCUUAUUAUGUAUAUUUUUAGAUCAGUGACCUUUUGGAUGCAUGAUUCAUGCUGUUUUAAUUUUUUUCCAGCUGAUCCAUUUUCACUUAAGUUGAUACAGAUGUUAUGAAACAGAUACUUUUGCCAUUAAACCAGUGAUUACUCACCUGUGCUCCAAAUUUUUUCUUAAAAAUAAAUCAAUUUUCUUCUCCUCUAGUCUCAAUUUUUUUUCCCAAAAUGUCAGUAGGAACCUUUCAGGACAAAAAACCAAUAUAAAAAAAAAGCCCAUGCACCUGUACACUUUUGCCACCUGCCACAGAUCAGGAGUUAUUCCAAAUCAGAUAAUGCUCUUUCAUUUAUCAUGUAACUUCUAAGAGUCAAUCACAUAGUCCAUUUAUUAAUACAAGUAACUAAGAUUUAUCAUUCUGUGCAUACAUCAGACCACAAUGAGCUAUGCCAAAAAUCAUUUUAUGUUUCCUUGGACUGUAUUCUACACACAUGGCUCUUAGAUACACUCUCAAAAACACUAACAAGCAUAUCCAUCAGUAGAUGAGCAUUCAAAAAGUAAAUAUCAUAGCAUGUGAUUUGUCCAUUGAGAUGCAGAUCUGAGCUUUCAUUAGGUUUCUUUCACAUGCAGAGUGUGGGAGCAAAGAGCAUUUCCACGCUUUUACUACUGACCAUGUAUCCUUUCUGCACUCUAAUUUUGUCAUGAGAAAAAUGUCUAUUGCCAGCCCUGGUCCACACCCUGAAAUUCUCCUCUUCCCUUCCAAAACCUACAAAGGCACAUAGAUUCACUCACAGUUCGUGAAUUUGACUCACCCUUAACCUUUGGAGGAGCGAUUCCAUAUUACUUCUGUACUCGAAAAGUCACCUCUUUACUCUUGCAUUUUCUCCAUUAAAAGGAGAAUCAUAAAUAGUACCCUGGAAAAAAAAAAGGAAAUAAAACUGUAGCAGGGCUCUGAAAAUACGGGCCUUGGGAAAAUUAAUGUGGUUUCUCAGCUAAAGCACAAAGACAGCAUCCAACUUCCCAAUCAUAUUACAUGCAAAAUGUUAGGGGGUGAGAAGAGCAGCUGAGGAAGUUUUUGGACUUUGACUCUCAGUGCCUUCUUAGUGUAAUCUACA
ensembl:lncRNA